rnacentral:sRNA from 1 species
GACUGUUCUCCACAGUGGCUGCCCCAUUUUACCUUCCCGCCAGCAGUGUUGGAGGGUUCCACCUUUUCAUCGUGGCUAGCACUGAUGCAGAGGCCGUGAAGAAGGCAGCCUUGGAAAAGAAGGAGGAGGAGCUGGUGAGCGAGCGCACAGAAGCCUUCACUAUUGCCCGCAACCUCCUGACAGCGGCUGCAGAUGCCAUUGAGCGGAUCAUGUCGUCGUACAAGGAGGUGACGGAGCUGGCUGGCUACACAGCCCGGGUGCACGAGAUGUUCCAGGUAUUUGAAGAUGUUCACCGCUGUCACUUCAAGAGGCCCAGGGAGCUAGAGGAUGCUCAGGCGGGGUCUGGGACCAUAGGCCGGUCUGGUGUCCGCGUGGAGGGCCCCCUGAAGAUCCGAGGCCAGGUGGUGGAUGUGGAACAGGGGAUCAUCUGCGAGAACAUCCCCAUCGUCACGCCCUCAGGAGAGGUGGUGGUGGCCAGCCUCAACAUCAGGGUGGAGGAAGGCAUGCAUCUGCUCAUCACGGGCCCCAAUGGCUGCGGCAAGAGCUCCCUGUUCCGGAUCCUGGGUGGGCUCUGGCCCACGUACGGUGGUGUGCUCUACAAGCCCCCACCCCAGCGCAUGUUCUACAUCCCGCAGAGGCCCUACAUGUCUGUGGGCUCCCUGCGUGAC